rnacentral:rRNA from 1 species
AACGAACGCUGGCGGCAUGCCUAACACAUGCAAGUCGAACGAAGGCUUCGGCCUUGGUGGCGCACGGGUGCGUAACGCGUGGGAAUCUGCCCCUCGGUUCGGAAUAACAGUUAGAAAUGACUGCUAAUACCGGAUGAUGACUUCGGUCCAAAGAUUUAUCGCCGAGGGAUGAGCCCGCGUAAGAUUAGGUAGUUGGUGGGGUAAAGGCCUACCAAGCCGACGAUCUUUAGCUGGUCUGAGAGGAUGAUCAGUCACACUGGGACUGAGACACGGCCCAGACUCCUACGGGAGGCAGCAGUGGGGAAUAUUGGACAAUGGGCGAAAGCCUGAUCCAGCAAUGCCGCGUGAGUGAUGAAGGCCUUAGGGUUGUAAAGCUCUUUUACCAGGGAUGAUAAUGACAGUACCUGGAGAAUAAGUUCCGGCUAACUCCGUGCCAGCCGCCGCAGUAA